rnacentral:piRNA from 1 species
UAAGAAAUACCCAAGUUAAUAAACACGAAAA